GCGACUUACCACCGUAUGAGAAAGUUACAUCUGCCAACACAGAAAAUUGCAUCUCAACAAACCUGUCUUUGGCAAGUACCUGAACUACAUUUCAGUCACUCAGUAAAGUGAUAACUCAAAAUAUCAUUGUCAACAGAUCUGAAGAAAUUGCCACUGCGUCUUUAGACCGUUUUCGUCAGACGAGAGACACAGUUCUGACUCUGAUUACUGGUUGCUGUACGUAUCUAUCCACAUCAAGGCUGUUUUUGAGAGAGACUCGUGAAGAUUCAAGACAGUUCUUAGAGGAUUUGCAGUUUAAAAGUGAAAUAAUUGUGAAAUAAGUGUGUGAAUGAUUAAACUGUGUUUUAUUGAAGUUGUUGUGCGAUUUUAAAGGAAUAAUAAAUGUCAA